rnacentral:rRNA from 1 species
ACCUGCUCGGAUGUAACGCGUACGAGGAAUUGACGUUCGAUUUCGGAGAAGGAGCCUGAGAAACAGCUACUACUUCUAAGGGAGGCAGCAGGCGCGAAAAUUACCCAAUGGCGAUUCGCCGAGGUAGUGAAGACAUGUAACAACGCAGUUCUCGUUUGAGAGUUGCGAUUGGAAUGAGUUGCGUACAAAUCACGCAGCGAGGAUCAAAUGGAGGAAAAGUCUGGUGCCAGCACCCGCGGUAAUUCCAGCUCCAUUAGUGUAACUUAGCGUUGUUGCGGUUGAAAAGCUCGUAGUCGGAGGUGGAUGGAUUUAUUCGCUCGGUCUACCGAUUGGUCUGAACGACGAGAAACCAUCUUUGUUCGUAUGCGUAGGUUUGUACUUAACUGUGCGAGCCUAGAUCGCUGCGGACUGUAUACUGUGAACAAAUCAGAGCGCUCAAAGCAGGCUUCUGCUUGUAUGUGUUAGCAUGGCAUAUUAAAAGAAGGCAGUCGACAACCUAUCGGGGGGUGUAGGCUGCAAUGAUCAAUGGGAGUGGACGAGGCUGUCGGUACUGCUGGGCGAGCGGUGAAAUGUGUCGACCCUAGCAAGACCAUCUGAUGCAAAGGCUGUCAGCUAGCUCAUUUUCGUCGAUCAAGAACGAAAGUUUGGGGUUCGAAGAUGAUCAGAUACCAUCGUAGUCCCAACCGUAAACUAUGGCGACCGUGUAUCAGAAGGAGCCCACGAUGGCCCUUUUGGCGCCCUGAGAGAAAUCAGAGUUAUUCGUCUCCGGGGGGAGUAUGGUCACAAGGCUGAAACUUAAAAGAAUUGACGGAAGCACACCACCAGGAGUGGAGUCUGCGGCUUAAUUCGACCCAACACGGGGAAUCUUACCGAGUCAGGACAUAGCUAGGAUUGACAGAUUAACUGCAUCUUUCUUGAUUCUAUGGGUGGUGGUGCAUGGCCGAUCUUAGUCGGUGAGGUGACUUGUCUGGUUAAUUCCGAUAACGGACGAGACCUUGGUCUAUUAAAUAGAUAGUCGUACGGCUUAAUGGGUGAAAGGUGUGGGCGUCUGCGCUACGGUGUAGGUUCCUGCGCUGGGAUCCUGAGCUAGUAACUUCAAUCUUCUUAGAGAGUGCAGUCGCGUUUUUGAAGCGAUAUUAAGAUCAAGACAAUAUCAGGUCUGUGAUGCCCUUAGAUGUCUCGGGCGGCACGCGGACUACACUGACUAGUACAUCAAGUUCCUUAGCUGAGAGGCUUGGGCAAUCUGAAUACUAGUCGUGAUGGGGAUUAGUCAUUGUAAUUAGGGGCUAUUAACGAGGAAUUCCUAGUAGGCGCGGAUCAUCAGUUCGCACCGAAUACGUCCCUGUGCUUUGUACACACCGCCCGUCGCUUCUACCGAUUGAAUUAUCCGGUGAACUUUUUGGAC